GCCUAGGUUCAGCAGCUUAUUCUCUACUGCCAAAGCUUGUUUCUUUGAACUUUUCCCAGUUCCUUCAGCUGGAUCAGUUCAUCCUGAGGCUACCACCUUAGCAAAGAGCUAUAGUGACAAUUUUGGAAUUUUGGUUUCUUUAAAAAAAUCCACAGAAAUGUUAUAAGGAUAUGUUUGCAUUUUAAUCCCAAGUGUGGAAUAUAGUGCUGCUUCAGACGGUCCACAGUGGGUGACUAUGAUUUGCUCUAGCGGAGGGGACUGACAAGCUGAUGGAAAAUGAGUGGAAGAAAGAAGAACCCACAAAGUAAUGGAAGAAGCUACAAAAUGCUAUCAUUUUCCAGAUCUGGCCUUACAGAUAAUACUAGAAGGAGAACUCCAAAACCUGGAAGAAAGUAACAUACAAGAAAACACAAGAAAGAAGUAACUUCAUACCAGCAAAAACAAGGGAAGCACACACACGCACACACACACACACACACACACACACACAUAAACACACACAAAUAUACACAUACACUAAGACCACAACAUCAAAAUAAUAGGAAUUAAUAAUCACUGGUCAUUAAUAUCUAUCAACAUCAAUGAACUUAGUUACCCAAUGAAAAGACAGAGGCUGACAGAAAAAAAAAAGUUUCCAAGCAAAGGGACCCAGUAAGCAAGCUGGAGCAGCCAUCCCAAUAUCUAAUCAAA